GCUGUACAUGAUGAUAGCUUGGCUCCCUCUACUGAAAAUGGUGAGGAUAAUAGCCAUGUCACCCAAUAGUAUCUGAACGUACAGC
rfam:Ornithorhynchus anatinus Cont325.51, whole genome shotgun sequence.